AGGAACAUGUGGUUUAAUCGAUGAUACGCGAGGAACCUUACCUGGGCUUAAAUGUAGAGUGCAUUUUUAGAGAUAGAAAUUCCCUUCGGGGCUUUCUGCAAGGUGCUGCAUGGUUGUCGUCAGCUCGUGCCGUGAGGUGUCGGGUUAAGUCCCAUAACGAGCGCAACCCUUAUCGUUAGUUGCCAUCUGGUAAUGCAGGGGACUCUAGCGAGACUGCCACCGUAAGGUGAGAGGAAGUGGGAUGACGUCAAAUCAGCACGGCCCUUAUGUCCAGGGCUACACACGUGUUACAAUGGUCGGUACAGAGGGCAGCUACCUGGUGACAGGAUGCUAAUCUCGAAAACCGGUCUCAGUUCGGAUCGAAGUCUGCAACUCGACUUCGUGAAGCUGGAUUCGCUAGUAAUCGCGCAUCAGCUAUGGCGCGGUGAAUACGUUCCCGGGUCUU
rnacentral:rRNA from 1 species